GACGAACGCUGGCGGCGUGCCUAAUACAUGCAAGUAGAACGCUGAAGGAGGAGCUUGCUUCUCUGGAUGAGUUGCGAACGGGUGAGUAACGCGUAGGUAACCUGCCUGGUAGCGGGGGAUAACUAUUGGAAACGAUAGCUAAUACCGCAUAAGAGUAGAUGUUGCAUGACAUUUGCUUAAAAGGUGCAAUUGCAUCACUACCAGAUGGACCUGCGUUGUAUUAGCUAGUUGGUGGGGUAACGGCUCACCAAGGCGACGAUACAUAGCCGACCUGAGAGGGUGGAGGGCCACACUGGGAAGGGGAACGGGCCCAGACCUCCAGGGGGGGGAAGAGGAGGGAAUUUUGGGAAAGGGGGGGGAUGCUGACCGAAGAAAGCCGGGGGGGGGAAGAAGUGUUUUGGGGGGAAAAACUCUGUUGGAGGAGAAAAAAGAGGGGGAGAGGGAAAAGUCCACGUUGUGACGGUAGCUAAAAAAAAAGGAACGGCUAACUACGUG
rnacentral:rRNA from 1 species